rnacentral:rRNA from 1 species
GACGAACGCUGGCGGCGUGCUUAACACAUGCAAGUCGAGCGGUAAGGCCCUUUCGGGGGUACACGAGCGGCGAACGGGUGAGUAACACGUGGGUGACCUGCCCUCAGCUCUGGGAUAAGCCUGGGAAACCGGGUCUAAUACCGGAUAUGACUCCAUGACGCAUGUUGUGGGGUGGAAAGCCUUGUGCGGCUGAGGAUGGGCCCGCGGCCUAUCAGCUUGUUGGUGGGGNGAUGGCCUACCAAGGCGACGACGGGUAGCCGGCCUGAGAGGGCGACCGGCCACACUGGGACUGAGACACGGCCCAGACUCCUACGGGAGGCAGCAGUGGGGAAUCUUGCGCAAUGAGCGAAAGCCUGACGCAGCGACGCCGCGUGAGGGAUGACGGCUC